ACACUUAAGCAGCAUAGAUACUAAAACUGGAAUGACAGAGAAAAGAUGAGCAUGGCCUUUGUGCAAAGAUGACAUGCAAUUUUUGAAGUGUUCUAUAUUAAA
ensembl:snRNA U6 U6 spliceosomal RNA